rnacentral:rRNA from 1 species
GAUGAACGCUGGCGGCGUGCCUAAUACAUGCAAGUCGAGCGAACAGACGAGGAGCUUGCUCCUCUGACGUUAGCGGCGGACGGGUGAGUAACACGUGGAUAACCUACCUAUAAGACUGGGAUAACUUCGGGAAACCGGAGCUAAUACCGGAUAAUAUCUUGAACCGCAUGGUUCAAUAGUGAAAGACGGUUUUGCUGUCACUUAUAGAUGUAUCGGCGCCGCAUUAGCUAGUUGGUAAGGUAACGGCUUACCAAGGCGACGAUGCGUAGCCGACCUGAGAGGGUGAUCGGCCACACUGGAACUGAGACACGGUCCAGACUCCUACGGGAGGCAGCAGUAGGGAAUCUUCCGCAAUGGGCGAAAGCCUGACGGAGCAACGCCGCGUGAGUGAUGAAGGUCUUCGGAUCGUAAAACUCUGUUAUUAGGGAAGAACAAAUGUGUAAGUAACUAUGCACGUCUUGACGGUACCUAAUCAGAAAGCCACGGCUAACUACGUGCCAGCAGCCGCCGUAACAC